rnacentral:lncRNA from 1 species
UUUUAUGGGGGUUUCUGGAUACCGCGGGGCCACCUCACAGGAAGCGGUUUGCAAUGAGAUCAUAAACAUUGCUGAGAAAUCUGUUCACUACUGCAGCACUGUCUCUCAUCCCCUUGGCUUCCAUCACAAGGUUCCCCCUUCUGACAAUAAAUCAUCUUUAAUCAUUUCUCAGCAACCUCAAGCCCAGCAGCGAAGACUCACCCCUGACAGGAGUCAGCCCUCACAGGAUUUAUGUAGCUACCAAGCGUUAUAUAGUUACGUGCCACAGAACGAUGAUGAGUUGGAACUCCGAGAUGGAGAUAUUGUCGAUGUCAUGGAAAAAUGUGACGAUGGCUGGUUUGUUGGCACUUCGAGAAGGACGAGGCAGUUUGGCACUUUUCCAGGCAACUAUGUAAAACCUUUAUAUCUAUAAGAAGACUGAAAAGCACAGAGAUUAUUUUUUAUCAGAAGAUGAAGCAUCAUUCAUGAACUGGUCUCUUUAUUUAAAUAUCGAGUCAGUAGGAAAACGAAUUUCAGUUGAUAAAGAAAGAAUUCAAAGAGAGGAACAGAGAAGUGUGUCUAAAAACCUCUGUGUAUCAGGGACUGACUAUCUGCUGAAGACAUCUGUAUUUACAUGGCUGCUUCUGGAGUUGCUCUAGCCCCUGCUGCUUACAGAAUCUGAUCUGGAGUAGUGUCCGUGAGCAACAUUAGCCAAAAAAUGUGUCCGGUCUUUACCCAUUCCCAUUUCAAAAGUGGUCCGUUGGGGCUGGAUAAGUCAGUCCCUGUCCAUGUUCCACAGGUCCCAAGCCUGAGCAUCAUUGGCAACUCCUGCCUCUAUUCCUGGCUACCCCAGAGCCU